UCCGAGUUGACCCCGGCAGUCUCCUAUGAGUCCCCGGCCGAACCGCUGGCAACAUAGGACGAGGGUUGCGCUCGUUGCGGGACUUAACCCAACAUCUCACGACACGAGCUGACGACAACCAUGCACCACCUGUGCAGGACCCUUGCGGACCCGGCAUCUCUGCCGGAUUUCCCUGCAUGUCAAGCCUAGGUAAGGUUCUUCGCGUUGCCUCGAAUUAAGCCACAUGCUCCGCCGCUUGUGCGGGCCCCCGUCAAUUCCUUUGAGUUUUAGCCUUGCGGCCGUACUCCCCAGGCGGGGCGCUUAAUGCGUUAGCUGCGGCACGGAGGCCGUGGAAGGACCCCCACACCUAGCGCCCAACGUUUACGGCGUGGACUAC
rnacentral:misc_RNA from 1 species